UACAGAGGUCCCGAGCGUUGUUCGGAUUCAUUGGGCGUAAAGGGUGCGUAGGCGGCUUCCUAAGUUUGAUGUGAAAUCCUGGGGCCCAACCCUGGAACUGCAUUGAAUACUGGGAGGCUAGAGUACUGGAGAGGAAACUGGAAUUUACGGUGUAGCAGUGAAAUGCGUAGAGAUCGUAAGGAAGACCAGUGGCGAAGGCGGCUCACUGGACUGGUAUUGACGCUGAGGUGCGAAAGCGUGGGGAGCAAACAGG
rnacentral:rRNA from 1 species